UACGUAGGUGGCAAGCGUUGUCCGGAAUUAUUGGGCGUAAAGCGCGCGCAGGCGGUCCUUUAAGUCUGAUGUGAAAGCCCACGGCUCAACCGUGGAGGGUCAUUGGAAACUGGGGGACUUGAGUACAGAAGAGAAGAGUGGAAUUCCACGUGUAGCGGUGAAAUGCGUAGAGAUGUGGAGGAACACCAGUGGCGAAGGCGACUCUUUGGUCUGUAACUGACGCUGAGACACGAAAGCGUGGGGAGCAAACAGG
rnacentral:rRNA from 1 species